GUUUUUUUACUUCUUGAAGAUAAUAAACAACUAAAUUUUUCUUACACGAAAAAUCCUGAAUAUUUUAAAACCACCUUUUUCUUCAUUUAUAAAUAUAUAUACAUGCACACACUAUGGAAGAAACACAAAUUGCGAGGGUUUUGGAUUUAUUUAAUUUAAAAAAAAAAUGAUAUGGGUUAUAUUGAUAAGCAAGAGCUCAUAACAAUACUGAAAUCUUUAGGGUACGCAAACCCAUGUUUUAUUUAAAUUAUUAUUAAAAAAUUAAAUAAAAAAAAAGACAAUACAUAUGGAUAUAUACAUUUGUGUGUGUCUUAUGCGUAGAAACAAAAAAUGUGUUGCAAUAUCGCUGUAACGGAUUUUACUAAUAUUAUGCAUGUAUAUACCCUAUAUAUGUAUUAUUUUUGAUACAUAAAAAAACAGGUUUAUAAUAUGUAAUGAUAUGUUCGUAAAUAAUAAAAAUUUCUACACGAUUGAUGAUUUAAAUGACUUUGUUUAUAAACUUAAAAGUAAUUAUUAUGCGAAGAAGAAAGUUGAAAAAUGUAUUCAAUUUUUAAACCCUAACAAUGACAAAAUAAAUACGAUCAUUUUAAAAAAGUUAUUGUGUGAACAUGGAAACAAGUUCACAGAAGAAGAGUUUAAAAAAUUUCUUGUUGAUGUUCCAGUAAUUUUUUUUAUGUUUUUUCUAUUUUCAAAAGAAGUUAUAAAAAAGAAAGCGUCAUUUUUGUUUAAUUUUUUUUUAUUUUCUUUUUUCUCAAAUUUAGGUAGACGACGAUGGGAACAUAAGCCACUCUGAUUUCAUUGAAACGUAAGAGAAAAAAAAAAACAAAAAAAAAAAAAAAAAAGAGCGUAACAUAUAUGCAUUAAUUGUAAUUAUGAUUAGAAAAACAAAGCAAAACACACAUACAUUAAUUUUAAUAAGGAUUAAAAAAUAUAUAUAUUAUCAACUGUUUAUCGAUAUAAAGUGCACGAAAAUUCAAAUAAUUUUAUAACUUUACAAUGUUACAAUUUUAUAAUAGUUUAUUUUUUCAAUUUCAUAAUCGUACAGUGUUACAAUUUUAUAGUUUUCCUUUUAUUUUUUGUUACUUUUUUUUUUUUUUUUAAAGCUUUUCUAAGUACGUCGAAUACUAAAAACAAAAUACACAGUCGUCAGGAAUAAAAAAUUAAAAAUAAGAAAAAAACA
rnacentral:lncRNA from 1 species